CUGUAAAGUAACAUCUGUAUUAAAAACUAGGGUAUAAAUAAUAAUUUAGAUUUUUAAUAUGUAUACUUCUACAACAACUCUUGUCGAAUAAUGAAUAUUCUGUUCCAUCUACUAGUCCUGACUACCAUUAUCUCCAUGGGAUAUUCAGCAUGCCCCAA